GUACACACCGCCCGUCGCUACUACCGAUUGGAUCGUUUAGUGAGGUCCACGGACUGUUGUCACUGGUUGGUUCGCCUUCCUUUGGCAUACUGGAAGUGGGACAAACUUGACGAUCUAGAGGAAGUAAAAGUCGUAACAAGGUUUCCGUAGGUGAACCUGCAGAAGGAUCA
rnacentral:rRNA from 1 species